rnacentral:rRNA from 1 species
AUUGAACGCUGGCGGCAGGCCUAACACAUGCAAGUCGAGCAAGAGGCGGACGGGUGAGUAAUGUCUGGGAAAAUGCCUGAUGGAGGGGGAUAACUACUGGAAACGGUAGCUAAUACCGCAUACCAUCGGAUGUGCCCAGAUGGGAUUAGCUAGUAGGUGGGGAAAAGGCUCACCUAGGCGACGAUCCCUAGCUGGUCUGAGAGGAUGACCAGCCAAUCUGGAACUGAGACACGGUCCAGACUCCUACGUGAGGCAGCAGUGGGGAAUAUUGCACAAUGGGCGCAAGCCUGAUGCAGCAAUGCCGCGUGUAUGAAGAAGGCCUUCGGGUUGUAAAGUACUUUCAGCGGGGAGGCGUUACCCGCAGAAGAAGCACCGGCUAACUCCGUGCCAGCCGCCGCGGUAAUAC